CUCUUCAUUGAUGAAGGUUUUGUAAAAGAAUUGGGUUAUUUUCUCAAAGGGAGAAAAUUUAUCUGCUUCAUUGCUAAUUGGUAAUCUUUAAUAGGAUUGAAUAUUGCAUUGUU